rnacentral:rRNA from 1 species
ACUGCGAGUGAAGCGGGAAAAGCUCAAAUUUGUAAUCUGGCGGUCUUGGGCCGUCCGAAUUGUAAACUAGAGAAGCGUUAUCCGCGCUGGACCGUGUACAAGUCCCCUGGAAUGGGGCGUCAUAGAGGGUGAGAAUCCCGUCUUUGACACGGACUACCAGGGCUUUGUGAUGCGCUCUCAAAGAGUCGAGUUGUUUGGGAAUGCAGCUCAAAAUGGGUGGUAAAUUCCAUCUAAAGCUAAAUAUUGGCGAGAGACCGAUAGCGAACAAGUACCGUGAGGGAAAGAUGAAAAGAACUUUGGAAAGAGAGUUAAACAGUACGUGAAAUUGCUGAAAGGGAAACGCUUGAAGUCAGUCGCGUUGGCUAGGGAUCAUCCUUACUUUGGUGAGGUGUACUUCCUUGUUGACGGGUCAGCAUCAGUUUCGGUUGCUGGAUAAAGGCUGGGGGAAUGUGGCAC